rnacentral:tRNA from 1 species
GGAAGGGUGCGGCGAAUGGUAAGCCACGGGUUUGCUAAACCCGCGUCAGAAAUGGCAUGAGGGUUCGACUCCCUCCCCUUCCGCCA